rnacentral:rRNA from 1 species
UUAGAGUUUGAUCCUGGCUCAGGAUGAACGCUAGCGGCAGGCUUAACACAUGCAAGUCGAGGGGCAGCAUAAUGGAUAGCAAUAUCUAUGGUGGCGACCGGCGCACGGGUGCGUAACGCGUAUGCAACCUACCUUUAACAGGGGGAUAACACUGAGAAAUUGGUACUAAUACCCCAUAAUAUCAUAGAAGGCAUCUUUUAUGGUUGAAAAUUCCGAUGGUUAGAGAUGGGCAUGCGUUGUAUUAGCUAGUUGGUGGGGUAACGGCUCACCAAGGCGACGAUACAUAGGGGGACUGAGAGGUUAACCCCCCACACUGGUACUGAGACACGGACCAGACUCCUACGGGAGGCAGCAGUGAGGAAUAUUGGUCAAUGGACGCAAGUCUGAACCAGCCAUGCCGCGUGCAGGAUGACGGCUCUAUGAGUUGUAAACUGCUUUUGUACGAGGGUAAACGCAGAUACGUGUAUCUGUCUGAAAGUAUCGUACGAAUAAGGAUCGGCUAACUCCGUGCCAGCAGCCGCGGUAAUACGGAGGAUUCAAGCGUUAUCCGGAUUUAUUGGGUUUAAGGGGUGCGUAGGCGGUUUGAUAAGUUAGAGGUGAAAUUUCGGGGCUCAACCCUGAACGUGCCUCUAAUACUGUUGAGCUAGAGAGUAGUUGCGGUAGGCGGAAUGUAUGGUGUAGCGGUGAAAUGCUUAGAGAUCAUACAGAACACCGAUUGCGAAGGCAGCUUACCAAACUAUAUCUGACGUUGAGGCACGAAAGCGUGGGGAGCAAACAGGAUUAGAUACCCUGGUAGUCCACGCAGUAAACGAUGAUAACUCGUUUUGGGGGAUACACAGUGGGUGACUAGGGGAAAGCGAAAAGUUAUCCACUGGGGGAGUACGUUGGCAAGAAUGAAAUUCAAAGGAAUUGACGGGGGCCCGCCCAAGCGGAGGAACAUGUGGUUUAAUUCGAUGAUACGCGAGGAACCUUACCCGGGGCUUGAAAGUUAGCGACGAUUCUUGAAAGAGGAUUUCCUUUCGGGGCGCGAAACUAGGUGCUGCAUGGUUGUCGUCAGCUCGUGCCGUGAGGUGUCGGGUUAAGUCCCAUAACGAGCG